rnacentral:other from 1 species
AGUAACCUGAGAACAGGAUUUACCUGAUGUUUUGAACCUACAUUUACUUUAAAAGGGACACUUAUAUCUUCUGAUAGAUGUCAGGCCUCAUUAUAUCAGUGGAAGGCAGAAGUCAGAUUGCGGUAACCCACCUAGCCGAUAGCUAGGAGUCAAAAUACAGGAGCCUGUUACUUGGGCGUAUU